rnacentral:rRNA from 1 species
AUUGAACGCUGGCGGCAGGCCUAACACAUGCAAGUCGAACGAGUGGCGGACGGGUGAGUAAUGUCUGGGAAACUGCCUGAUGGAGGGGGAUAACUACUGGAAACGGUAGCUAAUACCGCAUACCAUCGGAUGUUCCCAGAUGGGAUUAGCUAGUAGGGGGGGUAAAGGCUCACCUGGGCGACGAUCCCUAGCUGGUCUGAGAGGAUGACGAGGCACACUGGAAGUGUGACACGGGUCAGACUCCUACGGGAGGCAGCAGUGGGGAAUAGUGCACAAUGGGCGCAAGCCUGAUGCAGCCAUGCCGCGUGUAUGAAGAAGGCCUUCGGGGUGUAAAGUACUUUCAGCGGGGAGGCGUUACCCGCAGAAGAAGCACCGGCUAACUCCGUGCCAGCAGCCGCGGUAAUUC